rnacentral:rRNA from 1 species
GAAUUCACUAGUGAUUCAGGCCUAACACAUGCAAGUCGAGCGAUUUACUUCGGUAAAGAGCGGCGGACGGGUGAGUAACGCGUGGGUAACCUGCCCUGUACACACGGAUAACAUACCGAAAGGUAUGCUAAUACGAGAUAAUAUGCUUUUAUCGCAUGGUAGAAGUAUCAAAGCUUUUGCGGUACAGGAUGGACCCGCGUCUGAUUAGCUAGUUGGUAAGGUAACGGCUUACCAAGGCAACGAUCAGUAGCCGACCUGAGAGGGUGAUCGGCCACAUUGGAACUGAGACACGGUCCAAACUCCUACGGGAGGCAGCAGUGGGGAAUAUUGCACAGUGGGCGAAAGCCUGAUGCAGCAACGCCGCGUGAGCAAAGGAGGCCUUCGGGUCGUAAAGCUCUGUCCUCAAGGAAGAUAAUGACGGUACUGAGGA